AUGUUGGUGCUGAAGUGGGUUUUUGUGAUUGCUCUUUUUCAAGGUGUGCAUUGUGGGGUGCAGCUUGUUGAGUCUGGUGGAGGAUUGCUGAAGCCUAAAGGGUCAUUGAAACUCUCAUGUGAAGCCUCUGGAUUCACCUUCGAAAGCUAUGCCAUGCAUUGGGUUCGCCAGGCUCCAGGAAAGGGUCUGGAAUGGGUUGCCGGCAUAAGCAGUAAAAGUUAUAAUUAUGCAACAUAUUAUGCUGAUUCAGUGAAAGGCAGAUUCACCAUCUCCAGAGAUAAUUCACAAAGCAUGGUCUACCUGCAAAUGGAUAACUUGAAAUCUGAGGACACAGCCAUUUAUUACUGUACAAGGGCACAAGGAUUUCAGACCUAUUUUCAUUACAAAUAUUGGAACAAAGCAUCUUCUCUCACAGUCACACACAGGUAUUAG